rnacentral:lncRNA from 10 species
GUGACAUUCUGAGGUCAUGGCACGAAUCACAGUGGGGCCUUGCCCGGGUCAGCAGCGCCCAGAGUCAGGGUCCUCCGCUGCCUGAGGCGUCAACAUGCCUGCCUGCAAUGUGUUUGUGCACGUGCGUGCACAUGUGUAUGUGGGUAAACACGUCUGUGCACGUGUGUGCUGCUUCUCUGGCCAGGCCCGGCUGCCCCACUCAUGUGUGCACCCAGUUCCUCAUCACUGUCACCCCCGAGGCCCAGGGCCAGCAUCAGAGCAUCCAUGGCUGCUCCCUAACCCCAGCCCUCCCCGCCCAGGGUGGUCCUGGGAUACACAUAGCGGUGGAGGGAAGUGACUGCUGCUAUUGGAUCUCAGAAUACAAAAGCUAAUACUAUUACCUAAUGGUCUUUUUAGUGUCUCUAAUGGUAUCACUUUUUCAUUUCUGAUAUUUUAACUGGGUAUUUCUCUCCAUGACCCUUGGAUAUUCUAGCUAGAGGAUCCUGUGGGGAAAGUGCCGGGCACACAGUAGGGGCUCACUCUUCUAGACACGUUAUCUAAAACCUGGUUCAUCUGUCCUUCCACGCAGGGCCUAGGGGAUGCCGAAUUCCAGGGUCCAGAAAGAGCUUGGGAUAAAAAGAAACUUCAAGGGGACGGCUUUGACCUGGGCUGAGUCUACCUGUGCCAUCCAACUGGAGUCUCAAG